UAGGUGGCGAGCGUUAUCCGGAUUUACUGGGUGUAAAGGGCGUGUAGGCGGGCUUGCAAGUCAGAUGUGAAAUUCCAGGGCUCAACCCUGGAACUACAUUUGAAACUGUAGGUCUUGAGUGCUGGAGAGGCAAUCGGAAUUCCGUGUGUAGCGGUGAAAUGCGUAGAUAUACGGAGGAACACCAGUGGCGAAGGCGGAUUGCUGGACAGUAACUGACGCUGAGGCGCGAAAGCGUGGGGAGCAAA
rnacentral:rRNA from 1 species